CCCACUCAAGGAUGUUCAGGCGCCUUACGAGGCUUAAUAGGGAACCCCGUGCGAAUCGGGGAUGGGCCCGCCGCUGUAACUCCGCUCCGCUGCAACGCAGGGAAACCUUUCAGCACGUUUGGACCACUGUUCCGCCUCAACCGGAAUGGGAAGGUCGCUGGAAGGGCGGGGAAGUCAGAAGACCUGCCUGAAUACGAGGCUUAAGC
rnacentral:ncRNA from 1 species